AAAAGUCGUUCACGAAUUCAGCAAAGAUGUUGACGAACGUCGAAGACUUCAAAUGGCUUACAUCACCACCACUUCAGACUCUUUAACACAAGUUUCUAGAGGCUACUGUAAAAUAUAUUGUCAAGAAAGAAGAAAUGCAGUCGUGUGUGUACUUGACCAUAUCUAACCAAAUAUUCACGGCAUUCCUACGCCAAAAUGGUCAACAUCUAUCCUACGAAUGGCUUUGUAAUAAAGUCGAAAAUUUACAGUUUCUAUCUGCGUCUUGGUGUGAGUGAUACAUUGUAUUCUCAGCACGUAAUGUACAGCUGCUGAAACAAAUAUGUACCGGCUAACCUUGGUGAAAUACUGUACAGAUACCAAAAUUAUGUCGACAUGCUUUCUUCGACGUCUCACGAAAGAAUAGAUCUCGUGGUGAGAAACUAUAUUAAUGUAUUGCUGUCGUGGGACUAGACUAGCCGCUAAAAGAAAUCUGCAUUGCUGAGCCGUAGGAAAACGUGCUGCUUUUGAAAGACUUACUUGUCUCUAUCUUUUUCAAAAGAAGACAUUAGUAACUAUAGAUGUUUUGCUAAUGUAUUGCCAAACUAACAUUAAAAUAAAUGUAUUUAUUUGUA